rnacentral:rRNA from 1 species
UACGGAGGGGGCCAGCGUUGUUCGGAAUCAUUGGGCGUAAAGGGUGCGUAGGCGGCGCGGUAAGUCGGGUGUGAAAUCUCGGAGCUUAACUCCGAAACUGCAUUCGAUACUGCCGUGCUUGAGGACUGGAGAGGAGACUGGAAUUUACGGUGUAGCGGUGAAAUGCGUAGAUAUCGUAAGGAAGACCAGUGGCGAAGGCGGUCUCUGGACAGUUCCUGACGCUGAGGCACGAAGGUCAGGGGAGCAAACGGG